CCACCUCCUGCUCCUUCAGAAACCACCAAAAUUGAGCUACCGCCACCUGAGCUCAAAGCUAGAUCUCCCUCCUGAGAACUUUGUUCUCAAGAAUCACCACGGUGACCUCAUCCAUCUUGAUGGUGCUUUUUCUCACUAGAAGAGCAGUCACCAAAGACUCAUACGAAGGGAGAAGUGAUGCUAGCAAGACCAAUGCCUUGAUCUUCUCCUCA
rnacentral:lncRNA from 1 species